rnacentral:rRNA from 1 species
AUUGAACGCUGGCGGCAGGCCUAACACAUGCAAGUCGAGCGAGAGGCGGACGGGUGAGUAAUGUCUGGGAAACUGCCUGAUGGAGGGGGAUAACUACUGGAAACGGUAGCUAAUACCGCAUACCAUCAGAUGUGCCCAGACGGGAUUAGCUAGUAGGUGGGGUAACGGCGCACCAAGGCGACGAUCCCUAGCUGGUCUGAGAGGAUGAUCAGGCACAAUGGAACUGAGACACGGUCCAGACUCCUACGGGAGGCAGCAGGGGGGAAGAUUGGACAAUGGGCGAAAGCCUGAUGCAGCCAUGCCGCGUGUGUGAAGAAGGCCUUCGGAUUGUAAAGCACUUUCAGCGGGGAGGCGUUACCAACAGAAGAAGCACCGGCUAACUCCGUGCCAGCAGCCGCGGUAAUUC